GUUUGUCCCACUGGUUUGUUGUGUUCAUUCUUGCCUUUGUUUUCCAGUUUGUGAAUGCAAAUCAAACGUGACACAAUGCUAGGAAAUUGAAAACGUUUUUCAUUUCAAUCCAAUUAACGUUUUUGGGUUAAUGCAACAGCGUUGCGUCGUUUCCCUCUGUUCAGUCAGUCACACCCCAUCCCUCUCUGCCCCUCCGGUCUGGUCUGGUCUGGUCGGCCAGCAGAAACCGCCCCUUCCCCUACCACCAAACGGAAGUCGGGAUCAUAACCAGUUCUUUGUUCGAGUUUAAACAAAACAAAAAAAUGCACGACUUGAUUUUCCCCAUAUACCCUGUAAAGUAGGGUAUUGGGACUUUUAGCAAAGAAUUUUUGUCACAAUCGCCACUGUACGAUCACUAUACGAUACAUAGGACCGUCAGAAACAAAUCAUUCCAAAAACAAGAGAAAAAACUCAAAAUCUAUAAAUCUUCAAGUGUAUCCCACACUUCGAUUCGCUAGAGACCCGCCUUACUUUCUGGUUUGAUGGUAUUUCUUGUGUUUUUCAUGGAGCGUUGAUUUUUCCCCUCCCCACUUUCAAUAAUUAAAAUGCACAGCCACGAAGGCAAUCAAGCGGCGGGAUACACACAGCGAAUAAACAUAAAGAAAAAACAAAAAAAAAACCUGACCAAGUAAACUAUAUUUUGUGUAGGAUAGAAGAUAUAUAUACUUUUAUGAAUGAAAAUCCGAGGCAAUGGAAAUGAAAACAAAAGCACAAACAGCAGGGAGAAAUCUUAAUUACAUUAGAAUGGAAUAUACGAGUAAUCUAAACGCCUGCCAGCUGUUCAUUAAGCUCGAACGAUGGAAACACACAAAAUUACAGGGCCAUUCAUCAACUGGCGGCACUUUCAACAGCAGGCAAUGGAGAUCUGGAAUGGAAAAUACCUCUGGUAUGGCGGAACAUUCCUCAGAUAGCGUGCUCAUGCCUAUCGACUAUUCCGUUUAGUCGAGCAUACCCAGCAGAACGACAGACCAUUCAUCAGUUUGACGUCAAGAAAAAAAAAAA